UGGGGGAUAUUGCACAAUGGGCGAAAGCCUGAUGCAGCGACGCCGCGUGGGGGAUGAAGGCCUUCGGGUUGUAAACUUCUUUUGCUCUGAACAAGGCAUGCCGUUGGGGUGUGUUGAGUGUAGGGGUUGAUUAGCGCCGGCUAACUACGUGCCAGCAGCCGCGGUAAUACGUAGGGCGCGAGCGUUGUCCGGAAUUAUUGGGCGUAAAGGGCUUGUAGGUGGCUGGUUGCGUCUGUCGUGAAAGCUCAUGGCUUAACUGUGGGUUUGCGGUGGGUACGGGCUGGCUUGAGUGCAGUAGGGGAGGCUGGAAUUCCUGGUGUAGCGGUGGAAUGCGCAGAUAUCAGGAGGAAUACCGGUGGCGAAGGCGGGUCUCUGGGCUGUUACUGCCGCUGAGGAGCGAAAGCGUGGGGAGCUAACAGG
rnacentral:rRNA from 1 species